rnacentral:rRNA from 1 species
GAGUUUGAUCCUGGCUCAGAACGAACGCUGGCGGCAGGCCUAACACAUGCAAGUCGAGCGAGGUAGCAAUACCUAGCGGCGGACGGGUGAGUAACGCGUGGGAACGUGCCCUUUGCUACGGAAUAGCCCCGGGAAACUGGGAGUAAUACCGUAUGUGCCCUUAGGGGGAAAGAUUUAUCGGCAAAGGAUCGGCCCGCGUUGGAUUAGGUAGUUGGUGGGGUAAUGGCCUACCAAGCCGACGAUCCAUAGCUGGUUUGAGAGGAUGAUCAGCCACACUGGGACUGAGACACGGCCCAGACUCCUACGGGAGGCAGCAGUGGGGAAUCUUAGACAAUGGGCGCAAGCCUGAUCUAGCCAUGCCGCGUGAGCGAUGAAGGCCUUAGGGUUGUAAAGCUCUUUCGUGGGGGAAGAUAAUGACUGUACCCCAAGAAGAAGCCCCGGCUAACUCCGUGCCAGCAGCCGCGGUAAUACGGAGGGGGCUAGCGUUGUUCGGAAUUACUGGGCGUAAAGCGCACGUAGGCGGACCAGAAAGUCAGGGGUGAAAUCCCGGGGCUCAACCCCGGAACUGCCUUUGAAACUCCUGGUCUUGAGGUCGA